GACGAGGGGUCCUAGCGUUGUUCGGAAUCACUGGGCGUAAAGCGUAUGUAGGCGGCUUUUCAAGUCAGGUGUGAAAUCCCAUGGCUUAACCAUGGAACUGCAUUUGAAACUGUAAAGCUUGAGUAUUAGAGAGGAUGGUAGAAUUCCUGGUGUAGUGGUGAAAUACGUAGAUAUCAGGAGGAAUACCGGUGGCGAAGGCGACCAUCUGGCUAAAUACUGACGCUGAGAUACGAAA
rnacentral:rRNA from 1 species